UGGGGAGUACGGCCGCAAGGCUAAAACUCAAGAGAAUUGACGGGGGCCCGCACAAGCGGUGGAGCACGUGGUUUAAUUCGAUGAUAAACGAAUAACCUCACCUGGGUUUGACAUGCUAGUAGUAGGAACCAGAAACGGGGACGACUUUCCCUUUCGAGGGAAGGAGCUAGCACAGGUGAUGCAUGGCUGUCGUCAGCUCGUGUCGUGGGACGUAGGGUUAAGUCCCGAAACGAGCGCAACCCCUGUCGUCAGUUGCCAGCGGGUAAUGCCGGGGACUCUGACGAGACUGCUGGUGAAUAGCCGGAGGAAGGAGGGGACGACGUCAAGUCAUCAUGUCCCUUAUGCCCAGGGCUACACACAUGCUACAAUGGGAGGUACAAUGGGUUGCGAAGCCGUAAGGUGGAGCCAAUCUCAAAAAGCCUUCCUCAGUUCGGAUUGAGGUCUGUAACUCGACCUCAUGAAGCUGGAAUCGCUAGUAAUCGCAGGUCAGCUAUACUGCGGUGAAUAUGUACUCGGGCCUUGUACACACCGCCCGUCACACCAAUCGAGUGGGGGGUACCUGAAGUCGUUCUUCUGAGAGCGCCUAGGGUAACUUUCGUAAGAGGGGUGAAGUCGUAACAAGGUAGCC
rnacentral:rRNA from 1 species